GUCUCCUUCCUUCGACCUCAGUUGGGCCAAAAUUGGGCGCGGAAAACCGCCUCUCGUUUCUUUCGCAAGUGCAAGAGUUGUGGUGCUUAUGUUGAAGAACACGUUGACAGUGCGUUUUGUGCUGCGUUUCUUUGUUGUAGCCCCCUCAGCCGUAGCGGCAAGGUUUUUGCUUAGCUGUUCAUCUUCCCACCAGAAGUUCAAGAACCACAAAAAAGUACGGACUACAGUGUUACCGCUGAGUCUCCGACUCUGGAAUUCACAAGACCUGUGCUUCCUACAAGAAGUGAAAGGUAAAAAAAAAGUGGGCGAAAGGCGUCACUAUCGGCAACAGCCUUUCUGGUUCAGGCGAUCGGUCUGCACAAAGGACUUGGAACGGAGAGUGCAACGAUAUGGUCGCUGGCCUGAGUGCAAGUGAUACUUCGUCGCCUUUCGGCGCAUGAGGACUGAAAUGGACGUUUGCCUACAUGGAUGAUCAGAUGUCUCCUCAGACUAACCAUUUUGCGAGAAACUCUGAGGGCAUGAAGGGCACUGAAAUGGCUUAUUGUCUGUUUGGAUGCAUAGGUGCUGGUUGAGCUUGGACGUUGGUGAGAAGCUCCGAGGGCACAAAUGGCGCUGAAAUGGACCCUCACCUGUAUGCACCGUGAUGUGUUUUCAUACAAAAUAUAUUUCCAGUUUCGUAGUCGCAGCAGUAGAGGUGUUUCAGCUACGAUUUGUCUUCCUCGGCAGUUGUUCGAGAGGAAUAUCUGGAUCCUCCACAAUGAAAACAAAACUGUACUUACGAAAUGCCAAAAUAAAAACAGAUGUCAAUGAUAAUGAUGAGCCUUUUGUUUGUUCUAUAGUUUUUGAGGGUCAUGUCAGAAAAGAUCAAACAAAGCAGAGCUUUCCGAUUUGCUCAAUAAUUGUAUAUGUGAUUGCUUAAUGACCAGGUGUCUGAAAUACGAGCAUAUUUUUGAAAAAGUUCUGUAUUAUAAAAAUUAAAGAGAAAACGUGGAGUGCAGCGUUUGUGCUGCCUCUUGUGCUAUCGUCAGCCUAAUGAAACUGCAAAGUCGUUAUG
rnacentral:lncRNA from 1 species